CAUUACACNAAUAUGAAGCCGGACUGGGAUAGGGCCUCGCUGCCUUGCCCGUCUGGCGCCAUAUUCACCCAUGUCUUUUUGCGUACUACUUGUUUCCUUGGCGGGUCCGCCCGCCAAUUGGACCUUAUUCAAACCUUUUUUUCAGUUGCAAUCAGCGUCAGCAAAACAAAUGUAAUCAAUUACAACUUUCAACAACGGAUCUCUUGGUUCUGGCAUCGAUGAAGAACGCAGCGAAAUGCGAUAAGUAGUGUGAAUUGCAGAAUUCAGUGAAUCAUCGAAUCUUUGAACGCACAUUGCGCCCUUUGGUAUUCCAAAGGGCAUGCCUGUUCGAGCGUCAUUUGUACCCUCAAGCUUUGCUUGGUGUUGGGCGUCUUGUCUCUCUCCCGAGACUCGCCUUAAAAUCAUUGGCAGCCGGCCUACUGGUUUCGGAGCGCAGCACAUUAUUUGCGCUCUUGUCCAGCCGCGGUCGCGCGUCCAUGAAGCUUCUUUCAACCUUUUGACCUCGGAUCAGGUAGGGAUAC
rnacentral:rRNA from 1 species